rnacentral:lncRNA from 1 species
ACGUUCGGAAAAUAAACACGUAAUACCACGUAUCUUAUCUUAAUGAUAUCCCCACCGAGCACAGGGCUGAAAAAUGGGUUUCUCACUAAAACAAGAAGGGUAUGGGAGUGAUGGGAAUGGGAGCACAAUUUAUGAGUUAGUGAGCAAGUAAAGUUAGUGCACAAUAUUCCCGAUAAUAACGAGUGGCCAACUCGAGUAUUUUGAAAUCAAGAGAGCUUAAGAUGAAGAGAAAUUCGUUUGAAAAGCCCUUUGAAAAUGGUCGAUUAAGACUCGGAUAAUUGAAGCUAAAAGAAACCACUUACACGAUUAAUGCACGAAAGCUCGCCGGAGAAAUUCGUCGGAGGUUCGAUACGACUUUAAGCACACGAAUGAAUUUGAGCAGCCCUUCGGGAGGUUGAAAAGAGUGGUUUAUGAAAAUGCUAAGAUGAGCGAGGCUUGGUUGGGUGGAACGAAGCUUCGGGGUUUAAAACCUUGUAUAUAUCGGAAUAUAUGAAGAAUCGAAGGUUUUAAAGAUGAAGUAGAAGAAGUGGGCACUUGAAUAAACUUUGGGAGAGUGUUUCUUCUCUAAAAUCUCAGCAUAUAUUUGGC